rnacentral:rRNA from 1 species
UACGUAGGUGGCAAGCGUUGUCCGGAUUUAUUGGGCGUAAAGCGAGCGCAGGCCGGUUCCUUAAGUCUGAUGUGAAAGCCCACGGCUCAACCGUGGAAGGUCAUUGGAAACUGUGGAACUUGAGUGCAGAAGAGGAGAGUGGAAUUCCAUGUGUAGCGGUGAAAUGCGUAGAUAUAUGGAGGAACACCAGUGGCGAAGGCGACUCUCUGGUCUGUAACUGACGCUGAGGCUCGAAAGCGUGGGGAGCAAACAGGAUUA